UUCCGGUUGAUCCUGCCGGACCUGACUGCUAUCGGAUUGAUACUAAGCCAUGCGAGUCAUUGUAGCAAUACAAGGCAGACGGCUCAGUAACGCGUAGUCAACCUACCCUAUGGACGGGGAUAACCUCGGGAAACUGAGAAUAAUACCCGAUAGAACAUUAUACCUGGAAUGGUUUAUGUUUCAAAUAAUUUAUUGCCGUAGGAUGGGACUGCGGCCUAUCAGUUUGUUGGUGAGGUAAUGGCCCACCAAGACUAUUACAGGUACGGGCUCUGAGAGGAGUAGCCCGGAGAUGGGUACUGAGACACGGACCCAGGCCCUAUGGGGCGCAGCAGGCGAGAAAACUUUGCAAUGUGCGAAAGCACGACAAGGUUAAUUCGAGUGGUUUCUGCUAAAGGAACCUUUUGUUAGUCAUAGAACCACUAAUGAAUAAGGGGUGGGCAAGUUCUGGUGUCAGCCGCCGCGGUAAAACCAGCACCUCAAGUGGUCAGGAUGAUUAUUGGGCCUAAAGCAUCCGUAGCCUGCUUUGUUAGUUUUCGGUUAAAUCCAUACGCUCAACGUAUGGGCUGCCGGGAACACUGCAAAGCUAGGGAGUGGGAGAGGUAGACGGUACUCGGUAGGAAGGGGUAAAAUCCUUUGAUCUAUUGAUGACCACCUGUGGCGAAGGCGGUCUACCAGAACACGUCCGACGGUGAGGGAUGAAAGCUGGGGGAGCAAACCGGAUUAGAUACCCGGGUAGUCCCAGCUGUAAACUAUGCAAACUCGGUGAUGCAUUGGCUUGAUGCCAAUGCAGUGCCGCAGGGAAGCCGUUAAGUUUGCCGCCUGGGAAGUACGUACGCAAGUAUGAAACUUAAAGGAAUUGGCGGGGGAGCACCACAAGGGGUGAAGCCUGCGGUUCAAUUGGAGUCAACGCCGGAA
rnacentral:rRNA from 1 species